rnacentral:tmRNA from 1 species
GGGGUCGACUGGUUUUGACAGCAAGUCGAAUUGAACAGUAAGCACGUCGAGCCUGGUACCAUUGGCUCGUAAAUCCAAGGGUAUAAACACAUAAACGGCGAAAAUAACUACGCUUUAGCUGCAUAAUCUGAAUAAAGUAAGAUUUGCCACGUCUCGAUAAGAUCGGGAAGCUGGAUUCUCCUCAGAAGCCUUGGUUUAUGGCGACUGGCAUAGGGGAACCGUAAAAGUAAACCUAGGAAAGGUAAUGUUCUAAAUCCUUUCUGACACUGAUAGAGCUAAGCAUUAGGCCGCUGUCUUUGGCAUAGCCUACUGUCGAAAACCCAAUCAAAGACUAAACGUGUAGAAAGCUCUUUAGUUGCUUGUUUGGACCCGAGUUCGACUCUCGGCGACUCCACAC